GUGAGUAGAAGCUAAUGCAUUUUGCUUGGCUCCUGCAAAGGAGUUCAAGGAUCCCCUCUUUAUCUGAGCAAGCUUUGGCAAAAUCUGUCUGUGUUUUGCUUUCAUAGUGAGGGCUUUACAUAGGACUCAAUUCAGAUUGCUAAUGACUGGCAAGCUAAUGUGCUGGAAUUUCUCAGAUGCGACCUAUCUAAUAUACCUCUGAUAUUUGUACCACCAGCAGCAAAGGAAAGGAAUGAAUUUGUUAUAUGCUUAAAAGUGAUAUGCAGAACAGAAACCAUUCAGAUACUGAUGUCAUAGAAUCAUAUAAUAGUUUUGGUCCAAACAGAUCAGUUCAUCAAGAAGUAGUGAAGGAGCCAAAGCAAUGCAUCAGCUUAAUGGAAUGAUAACUGUGCAGUUAUUCCCCUUUGGGAACACCGAUACAUGGAGAUGAAACUUGGGUUUGGCGAAGCUCAUUCAUUAUGUUCAUGUCAUGGUGUCAGGGUAUCCUUAUAUGUGCACUCUGUGAUGGAGUUUGUUUACAAAUUUUGGCAUUUUUAAAAAGAGAAGACAUAUUUUAAAAUUUUGAGUGCUUUCCAAGUGCAGGGUUUUUGUUUGUUUCUGUUUUUUUAAUGCAAACAAAAUAGACUCUUCUUUACCAUGAUGCAUGUUCAUUGCUGUGUGAGCAAUCCCCUCCAAAACCAUUAUCAAAAUGGAUUGUGCAUACUCAUGACAUCUGACUCUGGCCAGAUCAGGAAUUCUGAUCUAUACACAUCUAGAGGUGUAAAAUCAUUAAAAGUGAAAGCUUUGAACAGGCUUCAUCAACAUUAGUUUCUUAAAUUCUUUAGCUGGAAGAUUGUGUGGCUUUAAAGACUAGGGAAGAUUGGGAAACUUAGUGAAAACAGAGCCAAAAUAAAUACAGAGUCCAACAGAGGUAAAACUUAAUAAUGUAUCUGCACAACAGGUGUAUUUUAAUCUAAACCACAUCCAUGUUUUAUACGAUCCUUUGUGGAAUUACUGCAUACUCUUAAAAACAAAAACAAAAAACCAACAAAAAAAACCCCAACAAAUGAAUCGUUUAUAUAAAGCAGAUAAUACAGAAUGGGAAAAGAAUUGGCUUAAUUUCACAUGCAGAAAAAUACAAGCCAACUACUGAUUUAUUGAAGUGAUUUUUCUGCUAGUGGAGAAUACUUCUUUUCCUAUAAGACUCAUCCAGUACUCAGGAGCAGAACGAUGGUGCUAGGAUGGGUUCAAGUGGGAGUCCAAGUGCAGCUGAGGGGGCUAUACUGAGUGUUGCCUUUAAAGAUCUGGAGAAAUGUUUUUGAGCAGGUAAUAGAACUGGCGUCUCAGCACCAGGUCUACUAUAGUUGUAUAGUAGAACUUACCUAAACAAUCUUUUCCCCUCUUCCUGACUGCACUGACUUGAAACUUCCUGGCAAGUGUGUAUUUUGGUAACUAAAUUAAUAGUUAAACUGAUUAAACUGUGGUGUUGUGGAUUUUAUUUUUUCUUCUGUGUGAUCUUUAUUUCUUUAGUUUGUUUUUGGUGGUGUUGGGUUGGUUUUUUGUUGUUCUUUGUAUUGGGGGUGGAUGGAGGACCCCAAAAAUCUAUCAUUUCUCAUAAGUUAUUUCAUUUUCCAGUUGAGUUCAUCCCAGGAAAUGGAAAAUUGUGAUAUGAAUAUUGAAUUUCUAGGUUUUUUACCAAAUUUUUAUGUGGUUUUUGGCAUUGGUUUGUCUUAAAGUGGUUGUAAUUCUGAAGUUGUGCCAGAUUUGCUAUGUCUUUAAAAUCUUUUUUGUAGUUGAGUGAACAGGCUGUUGUGGAACACAUCCUGCUGAGAGCUCUGUGUGGCGUGGAGAACACUUACUCUCCUUCCACCUCCACAAGAAGACUCUAGGUCUGAGAGGUAGUGGUAUGUGUAAUAUUUGGGAAAUUAGAUGAUGUGGUGAUGCAAGACAUACAAUUAUUAUUUUACUUCUAAGCUUGAUAUAACCUGAUACUCCAACUAUGCCUUGCCCCAAAAUAGAGUUUGAUGCAGCAGAACAGACUGAUCCAUCCCAAACAGUGAGUGAUGUGAAGAACAAUUCUUAAGUCUGUCUGUCCUAGGUAUAGUAUCUGAAAAGAUAUCAAACUGUGAUAUAAUACUAACACUGUAAAGCAGUGCAAGCAUAUCUAGGUCAUCAAAACAACGAGGAUUCCUGUAAUGGUUAGAAACUGGAGUAAAUAUCUGGAAAAUUUUAGGAACCCUCUAACAGACCUCAUUUCUCAUUGCAGAAGCCAGCUUACAGAGACUGUAUUUAUGCCAUAUGUGUGUCUGAGAGUCACUUUUAUAUAACAAUUUUUUUGUCAGGGUCUUCAUUUGGAAUAUCAAAGUUGACUAAGGCAGAAGGAAGGGGAAAAAAAAGCCAUAAUCCUAAUCUGCGUGCUUAGGAUCCUUCAGAGGCCAGGCUGCUUGUGCUGAGGAAAGAGCAAUAGGGUAUCUGAGGUGUGACUGAGCUAAGGACUAUCAUUUUUUUUUCCUCUCCUUAGGAAAGGAGAUAAGACCCGUGAACCUUUAAAACUGAGUUUUUCUCUGGAUGUGCAUCCCUGUGCCCCUUGUCCUUUCAUCUCUCCUACAGUAGGCACAGCUUAACCUCAGUUCAAGCUCCAUAUUCCAGGAGGUGAAAUGCAAUUUUGCAUACCCUUCUGAGAGUCUUGAGAUGGCUGUGUUGAUAGGCAGGCUUUGCAUGAUUCUACAGAGGCAGAGAAUGUCUUAUGGUUUUGCUGUGGAUUCCCCAUGUUUCCAAUACAUAUUUUAUAGGAAAAAAUCUCAUUGUUUCCUCUUAUCAGAAGUAAAACCUGAACCUUUUCCCUGAAUAUUUUUACAGGCGUAGCUAAUCAUAUCUCAACACUUUUCCACAUAGGGGUUCCUUUGGAGUUAUUUCUUAGCUAUAAAUUGAGUUUUCAGCAGAUGUGGCAAUUGGGAUCAGGCUCUAUAAAGUCUGAUUCUUUUCCCUUCAGACCUGAAAAUAACAUAAGUUUUAGGCUGUAAGUCAAAUAUAACCCUUGGGAAGAAAAAAAAGUAAACAAAGUUACACAAGUAGGAAUAGGAAUAUAAGCAGUGACCACACUGUUAGAGCCUGGGCUUGUUUUAAACUUGCUGCUUCUUUAUUGAGGCAAUGUUGUUCUAACUCUUUAGUGCUGCUUGUCUUGGGAAGUAUAACCCAAUAGCAUCUGGUCCUUUGCUGUGUACAGUUCAUGAUCACUUUAUACAAUAAUUUCCUUUAGCAAAUAUCCAACUGUAGACCACAGAUUAUUUAAAUCAAAAUAAUGGAGGCCUUUCAGAUAACCACACACAUAUCAUAACUGCCUUUGUUUAGCCUGUCAUAACAGAGCAUCUGCUGCUUAUGAGUUUUGGUCUCCUUUCAUGUUCCUGAGAAAGUUUCCUCUUGAUAAGAAGAGAAGAGAAAUAAUCUAAGCUUCCUGGGAAAGUGAGCUGCUCCUUAGGGAAUCAAACAGCAACACUGAAGCUGUGGCAUGAUAUGGGGAUUGUAACCAAGAUAUUUUCUCUUUGGCUGUUUCUUCUCUUACCUCACUGUGAUAGUGUCUCCCCAGAAGCACAGCACAGGGCUUGCACUCAUAGGUAGUGUAGUCACUAUAGCGCUUUAACCGUCUUCCCCUAUUUUUACUUUCUUCCCUUUCUGUAUUGUUCAUUUGAAUUGGAGCUUGUUUGAUGCAAGUACUGUGCUAAUGUGAGACCUAGAGAACAGGUCUCAAUAGGAGACUCUAUAAGGUGUGUGUAAUAGUAAUUCUUAUUUUCUAUGUUCAUUCACUUACCUUUAAAAUUUUCUCACCUUUGUUUGUGAAGUCCUUGGAGAAGUAAAACUGGAAAGCUGGACUGUGACCUUUUCCUGGUGCAAUUUGCUUUGGCUGAAUCUGUUCUGGCUCUGCACCUAUGAAGGCCAAUAGAGGGGUAUUGACCCCUUUGGUAACUCUUAACCAGUUAAAAUGUGUUACACAACAGUGUAGGUCUUUAGAGGUACAGACAACACUGAUGCUCAGCAGACAUCUGUCAGAGGAUGUCAUGAUUAGCUAUGUUGCUCUGGCAGCAUAUUCCCCUGGAGAAGGUGUGAGCGUGAAGUCUGAGGAUUGUGUGUGUAUGUUGUCAUGGCUCCACAUGCCAGAACUCUGUCCAUAGUCUGUCUGCUCUGCGUUUCCCAGGUCACAUCAACACUACCACCUCUUGUUAUAGCUUUGAAAGCAAUACUUUGUGCCAAUUUUGGUAGUUGUCAGGCCCACAGAAGAGGUAGCCACAUCAAUUCUCCAUAUGGUUGUACUGGUCAUUUCAAACACUUCUGAUGGGGACUCUGCAAUUGUACAAGAACUAAAAUCAGAGAUGAUACCUUUACUUUCAUACAUUACUUUAAACAGACUCUUAAAAGUUGCCUGCAAGCUCCUAGAGUCCACUAAACUCAAGUUGAAAGCCACUGACACAGUAACACACAACUAUGGAGGCUAUAGAAAAUACAAUAUAGUAUAUUCAGAUAUUCUCUAUAUGCCUGAUAAAACACUUUCUCUAGUUAAGAUCAGUAUGCUUAUUAAUUUAAGAAGUUUUUAAAAUGUGAAAUCAUUAGUAUAUUCCAUGGUGCUGUAUGUUUUACUUCUGUUACUUGUCAGCUUUGUCUGGAUUGGUUUGCAAACAGUAGCUUGUGAGCUGGGGACCUAUUAUCUGCUGAAUUGAGCAUAUUCAAAAAAUGUAAAGAUCCUCAAUCUUUAUUGUUGUGAACUCUGAAAAAAGAAGUUGACUUUUGAACUCCAACUGGCAUGCUCAGUGAUGUUCCACAUUAAAUUCUCAUCCAGAAAAACAUUAAUAGAAGCUCCAGCAAGCACAAAUUUUAAUGCAGGUUAUAAAUCUUUGGGUUUUAAGUGAAUUGAUGUUUCAGUUCAGAUUGAAGGAAUUCUUCCUUUGACACUCAUAAAACAUACUUUGUGGUGAGCUGGAAACAAGAGCAAUCAACAGAGGCUUCAGGAUGGACAUAAAGCUAGGAAAUGUUGAAUAGGAGAAGCUGGUGCCAUUGAAAAAGUGACUAAUAUGUUUAUUAACAUCUGAGUGCUGUUUGUGAGGAGAUGGAAUGAUGGCUGAUGGGAGUUUGGAAGGGAAAGAAUGGAGAAGGUCAUUGACUUUCUUGUGUCAGUCUUUAUGGAGGCUGAAGCAGCAGCAGCAGUGCUCAGCUGAACUGGUGCGUUUUAAUCUGAAGCAGCAAUAGAAUAACUGUAAAGUGCAUGUUGAUGGAUAAAAAAGGGUGAAGGGGCUCUUGUCUACUCCUCUUUUAAAGUGAAACAAAACAUAUUACUUAGCACAAGAAUAUGCUAAACGUUAUGCCCUUUGUCUUAGGCGAUGAAAGUAUCCCUUUCAAUGGUUUCUCUGGUCUUGGAGAUCUACUUCAGCCUAUGAGAUAAUAUUUUGCUUUGUUGAUGAAAAUAAGCAAAUUAUUUUAGAUAAAAAUAGUAAGAAGUGAGGUUGUUACAAGCAGAGCUAGUGCAGACACUCAUUAUAGCAAAAGAUCAGGAGCAAGAUGAGGCACUAGUAGGUAAGUUUUCAUCACCACUUGCAGAGAAGAAAGCUUGACGAGAGUCAAAGAGUAUCUCAUUCUCUUAUUGCCUAUUUCUCUACAAAGUAAAGUCACAAAACAGUUGACGUCUCUUGAAUUGGACAUUUUGCUGACCAGGAAGUCAGUCAUAAUACAGACAUGAGAGAAGAAGAGACCACAACAUGCUGGAGCUAAGAACGUCUAAUUCUGCAUAUCUACAUACUAACAAGAAGACAGUUAAUAAAGUUUGACUUGAGAAAUGCAUUUAACGUGCGUUCACUGAAAGCCUCUCAAAGAGCAAAGUGACACGAACAUAAGAUUCUUCUGUCAAACCACAGUUCAGUGUCAUUUAAUAUGGUUUUGUGCUGGUUGCCUCAUCUUAGCAUGCAGAAGUAGCUUCUGUAGAAGGAUAAAAUCCUGGCCUUAUUGAAACCACUGAAACUCUUGUGCAUUUCAGAAGAGCCAGGAUUUCAGUUCAUAUGUUCCUGCAAUGCAGAUUAUACUGUGAUGUUAUUCUACUAAUAUAUUUUUUGUUCCUUGAAUCAACCAUACUUUUUUUUUUGGCCUAUGGAUCAUCACCAGUUCAGAAUAAAGUAUGGUAUGCAUAAAGAAAAUAGGCAAAUAUGUAAAUUCUAAAAUUAAAAUCUAAAAGGUUUCCUACAUGCCAAUUAUUCACAAAGGUUGUAUUUUCUUUUUUUAUGACUGUAGUUUAUAUUAGUGUUUGUUUCCUUUUCCAAACUACUUCCACCACUGGUAUUCAUGGAGUAUCUAUCUUCCUUUUAGUAACUACCCCAGUGCACAAGAUAUAAUAGCAGUCACCUCGACACACCAGUCAACAGUAUCAUGGUUGUAAAGCUCUGUUUUGCAUUUUCUCAGACAAAGUAGACUUUCAAGACUGGAACACUGUGUUUUUCUUCUAUGUAACGUGAUGUUGUGACUCUCCUCAAAAAUGCAGAUUAGUGCAAGAAUGACAGUUAAAAGGGCACCACUGAAGAAGAGUUAUCACUUCUAGGUACUCCUUGGACUGGUGUGAAGAAAAGCAGGUAGCAAUUCAAUUGGGCUUAAAGAACAAUGUCAAACUUUUAAAGUGACCUGCCAAAGAGAGAAAAGAGGAGACAUGUAUGCUAUAUGAACAAAACAGAUCAGAAUAAAGGCAUUUCAAGUAAAACUUCCUAAUCCCAUGAUUUCAAGAACAGAAGCUUGGAGCAAAUCCCCAAAUUUUCACAAGAAAAUUGCGGUUCUAUAUCUGCCUGCAUCCCAAAGUAUUUCAUUUAGCAUCCCAUUGGUGCAACACGACGUUCUGCAGGGCUAGGCCAAUCUGCUCUCUUUGCCACCCUCACACUGCUCCGGCCAGCAGAGAAGCACAGGCUGGAAGCCAAGGACAGCCCGUGGCAGGGGUGUCACUGAGCCUGUGGGAAGCCUCACACUGCAGAAAACCCCCAGGAGGACGGAAAGCAGCCGUGGCUGUGAAUCACCCUAGAAACAAGUGAUUCGCUAUGGGUAAAUGUGUGGAAAUGGCACAGUACUGUAAAGUGUGACUAAAGCUAUUAUCACAGAGCAGUGGGAAGGCUCCCAGCCCCCAGCACUUUCUUGAGGGUAUGCUAAUUAUUGCUAGGGGCGUGAAUACUCCACGUCUUGAAUAAGCAACUCUAACUAAGCAGCUCCGUUGCUCUCUCCAUGCUAAAGACAAUGCUGGAUUGUCUCGAAAAGACUGUUGAGAACUUCUUAUAAAACAUCAUUAGCGGAUUGGAACUAGGUGAUCUUUAAGGGCCCUUCUAACACAAGCCAUUCAAUGAUUCUAUGAUUUCAGUGCUAAAACUACUGCAAUUCAGUAACAUCCAGUAGACUUGAUUGCGAGUGCUCAUUUCAUUAAUGGUAUCUCCCUGUUCUGCAGCAGAGAUCCUUGUGAUGAAGAGUCACAAUCCUAAUGAGGUCUCAGGCUGCCCUUGCAAAAAGUUAGGAUAGGAGACAUGAACUCUGCUGCUCUAAGAAUCCCUGCUCCAGUAACUGUGGAGAAUGAUGUCUUGGCUCCCUGUCACUGAAGCGACAAGGCCAGUUACGUUCUGCCCCUGUCACAACCCAAGAGUUGUUUGGGCACUCAGGUCCUGGAUGUUAGUGUAGUACUUAGCACAGACUGUUUAGAACUGACCAAUAGGGGAUGUUGGUGGUGGAAGUCCUGCCUUGUGAUUUCAUGGUGCUUGGUCACAUUCCCAGAUCCCUUCUGUGUCCCCUCAUAUUUCAUGAGGAAAAGAAUUCCCUUGGCUAAGUUGAACUUUGUUGUUAGGACCAUGAUGGGAGUAUUACUCUCUUCUGGAAUGCGUAUUUCUGCGUGCUACCAUGGAUUUGUCAGGCUUUAGUUAACAUUGGAUCACAUUGCAGUUUGGUGUCUAGAGGAUGAAAAAUAUGCAAAUGAGCUCAGAACUGAACUACUGCUAAUCAUGCUGGAUUUUCUGUUUCCAUUUUAUGGCCCUGCACUUUCAAGGGCACCAUUGAAUGUAUCAUUUCACUUGUUGUAAGCCUUAAGUUGUCCCAUUGGGCAGAAAGUUUAUACAGAGAAGGCACGAAAGAUAAUGUAUAGUGUUGUUGUGCUGGAAGCAUAGUGGCAAGCACGAUUCUUACAAAGAUGAGACAGCUUUAAUAACCUUGAAGCAAGAACAUUACCAUAGCAAGGCCUUCACCAGUAACACUUUAGAGCCUAGUUUCAAACUAUGUGUACAAUAUGUAUCAUGACAACAUUACUACAACUCUGCUUGGCUAUUCCGAAAGAGAAUGCAGGCUAGGACUAACGAUUACACUAAUGCAUUGUGUUGGUUAAUUGAAGGAAUUUAUAUAAUGAGAUAAAUGUCAGAGUUCAAAGUCAAGUGUAUGUAUGUCUGUUUGUGAGAGAGAGAGAGAGAGAGAGAGAGAGAGAGAGAGAGAGGAUAUAUGCAGGUAGGGUUGUCAUCAGCCGAAGGACUAAAUAUAAGCCGCUGUGGUUUUACAUUGGGGAAAAUAUCCAGAAAUCCUCUCUAGGCAAUACAUUACAUGCUUGUGGGACAGUAAUGAUGUACAAGCAAAGCAGCACCUGUAAUGAGCUUGCAGCCAUCACUGAGGCUGGGAGCAUUAAUGCCAAUUUAUCUGGAAGGGAAGAGUGAGAAUGUGCCAGUGAUGCUAGAAAGAUCCAUAAUAUUUCCAAGCAUUUUCUUUUCCACCUGGACAAGAGCACACACACUAUUAAUGAGAACACUGUUUUUCCCUUCUAGCUUCCUGGAAGGUAUUUGCUCAUCUAAAAUACUUCAUAGGGUGACGGUAUAAUAGUAUUAGCUACUCAUUAUUGCUUCAGUCAUCUCAGACAGCAACUAUACUGUGAACUUGGAAGUGCAUUUAAAAAAAUGACAAAAGCAUAUCUUGAUCAAUGUUGACUCAUUAGUUGCUUAGUAUAUGCAAAAAAACAUUAUCAUCCUUAAUUGCCUCUGUGAUACUGCACUCUGAGAGGAAUAUCCCUCAAAGGAAACCCUUGGGAGAAAAUGCUACUCUCAGCUUUUAUGAGACUAAUGUGGCUUGGAGUGAAUUGAUCAAACUCAUUCCACACUGUAACUUAAAGUGCCUACUUAGCAUUAUUCCCAGUUGGUAGAUUGCUCUGUCUAGUUUAUAGAUUAGUAAAAUGUUUUCCCUGUUUUUGGUUUCACCUGCAUUUUAGCCCAUAUUAAUAUUUAAAUUCCCUAAGAAUAAUUUUUGUCAACCCUUUGAUGACAACAGAGGAAACCAAAGCAAAGCAAAGGUAAACUUUGAGACUUAUUCUUCCAUCUCCUACUUGAUACACAUCGACUUUCUCAUUAUAGCUCAUAUGAGAAACAGGCUGUACAGGUUGCUGUCAAGUGCAGAAUGAGACAAUGGUAUCUUACUAUUUGUUGAAAGAGUCCAAGGGCUUUGAUCCAGCAAAGCAUUUCAAUAACUACCUCACUUUCAGCAAUAAGCAUCUCCAGGUCCUUUAAUGCUUUGUUUCUGGGCUGCCCUUAGGACCUGCAGGGUGGGUGACAAUCGUAGAAUUAUAGAAUCAUGGAAUCAUAGAAUCAUAUAAUAGUUUGACUUGGAAGGGACCUUAAAGGCCAUCCAAUUCUAACCCCCCUGCCAUGGACAGGGUUGCCAUCCAUUUGAUCAGGUUUCCCAGGGCUCCAUCCAAUCUGGCCUAAGGAUGAGGAGAGCACAGUCCUGCUCGUGGUCAACAAGAUAGCCCUACAUGGCAGAGGUGGCCUGGCAACCCUCCUCUUCUACGUCAGCUGGAAGAAGGUCAGAACAGCAAGAGUCCCAGUCCUCAAGUCCAGAAAUAGGAGGUCAUGGCACCUCCACAAAGCCUUGCAGGCAGAUGGGAGCUCUGCUUGAGAGAUUUCACAGGUAAAUCCAGCAGGGAGUGUGAUCUCAAAACAUGGAAAAGAAGCUAUAUUAACCUGUACUAGAGUCUGAGCAUAAACCUUUUCACAGAAUGUAUUGUUUUUACUCCUGCACUAGAUGAGUCCAUUAGACACUGCAUCAAUUACCAGAGAGUAUAUAAUGUAAAAGGCUCCAAUGGAUAUCCUAUAUCUAGCAUGCUAUUAUAUACAGACUGUAGCCAGGGAAAUAGCUUUUAGUAUAAAAGGGUUUUGCUGGAACCUGGGGCAUAUGCAGUUAGGUUUCAGUUCACUAAUUUCUUCUUAUUGAGGGCAGGAGAGUUUGCUGUAGGGUAAUCAGCAACCUGGGUCAGAAAAGACUGCCCUCAUCUCGCACAAGGCACAGACCAAAGAAUGCUUCUCUCUUAAUUCCUGUGCAAAAUUUGUUACCCAUGUUUGGUGCUAGGAAAUCAACCAAUUAUAAUGUUAAGCUUUCAAUUGUGGAAAAUCCACUUCAGCUCCAGUUAAUGUUUACUUACCUUCACUGAUAGGCAAAAAUGCUUUCACCUAAUUUGUAGUCUGAACUCGUCUGGUUUCAACCUGCGUCUACAGAGUCUUAUUACACCUUCUUGUCCCCUCUUAUACGAAACUGCAAUGUUAGCUAGAAAGAAAAAAGCACACAGAAGAUAUUCCACAGGAAAUUAAGGUUCAGGCAGAUAAUGAUGGUACUUCUUCAGGGAAUCCAGGUGGCAAUACAUGUCAUCUUGCAGAACGUAGCCAAGAGCUGCAUUUUUUGGGUAAUGUAUGUCAGUCUUCUGGGAUAGGAAUUAUCUACCUAGAGUCUAACAUCAGUUACAGUCACUGCCUUUUAAGAUGUCGAAACUACAAAAAGGGUCAACAUAUGAAAUAUUCAUGCUGACAUUUCCCUGUAGCGCAUCCUUUCCAGGCUCAGCCAUCUCCUCAGCCAUGCGCUCUGCAUCACGCUGUGCUCCCCCACUGCCUGCCUCCCUCCAGGCCCUGUCAAUUCACCUGGCCCUGGGGCUGCUUUGGUGUUCUUCCAUGAGAAACUCUGAGAUGUUUCUUAUGCUGCUGCUCUGCUUGGAUUGCUCUGAACCUGUGCCUCCUCUAGCCUGUCUGUGUUUCUAAGCCUGUGUGAUUCUUUUCCACUGCCAGGCACCAGCAUGACCCCCUUUCCUGAUGUGGUUUCAUACUCCACUGUAUCACACUACCAAAAAAAUUCUAGUAAUAAGCACAUUACAGAACAUGUUUUACACAAAAGCAUGGAGGAAAAUAUAAAUCCUUACAGUUUAAUGUAAGAUAGAUUAUCAAAACACUCACUUGUGAUCACUCUGCAUUAAAAACCAGUUGUGUAAUUUUAAUACAGGUUGACUCACAUGUAAAAGCAAAAAGUUAGUGUGACAUGCAAAUUUUUUCUUUUAGAACAUGGCUAAAGAAUUUCUUUGUAUUGACAUUUUAUUUCAACAUAACUGAAUGAGAAAUUCAUAUAAGUAAAUCUUUUCCCGAAAAUCUUUCAUUUUUCAUAAAUUGGCAUUUUACAGCAAAUUUGACACAGCACAAUGCAACAAAAAUAAUUGAAAAAAAUAUCUUCCAAUCUGAUUAUGUCUAAUUAUGAUGAUCAAACUCAUGCUCUGGGGGUUUUAAUUUUUCCUUUGUCUGUUGAGCACCAUGUGUGAUUCUGGCGAUAGAUAAAUAACAGCACGUUGAAUGAGAUGUGAUUGCCAGUUCACAUGGUGAUUCCACAUAUAAAAGUAGUUAAUUCCAUAAUGUAAUCCUGGAUAUGCUAUAAUGCUGUCCCCCACCAUAGUAUUUUGAGCAUUCCUUAAAAAGUAUAAGGGAUAUUUUUGGAGAGUUUGGCACUUCUUGCUUUUUGAGGUCAAAAUUUUGUGGAAAAAGGCAGCAGAGUUGUUGUUAAUGAUAUUUGUUGCCUAUAGCAUACAUUUCCUCUUUUCCCUUACUUGGAUUCAGUAAAGAAGGAAAUUUCCACUGCAAAAUUAUCCCAAAUUCUUCUUUAGAUCUAGACAUCAUCUUUUUAAUUGUAUUCACUCAGGCCUGCAAUCUGGUGGAGUUGUAGAGUUUUAUGAGUUCAGACCUGGCUCUGUCUUGCUCCUUCUUUUUCCCGGUAGUUCUGGACUGGCUCUGGUAAGGUGAUUUUCUGGCAGUGAGCAGGGUCAAUCUGAUGUGUUUUAACAAGGCAGCUUGCACAUGCCCAUGGUCUGCCUUCCCUUUACCACAUUUGCUAGGACAAAUUCCUCACUUGUCACCCACACUCAGGGGUGCCUCCAGGAGCACAGCUCCAAAGCCUACAGAGCAGGGAGGCAGGCACUGUGUUAGCAAGGGCACUGGCUAUAUCAAGCAAUGUAAGAUUCAUCAGAUAAUAGAUUUCUGUAAACUGCCCUGAAAAGACAAGAGGCAGAUGCAAUAACUGAGGAGACUGGAAUAGUGGGAACGUGCCGCCACGACAGGAAACCUGGCAUCCAGCCCCUGCUUGGCUAUCAACUGAUGGAUGCCGUGAGGAAGUGCCUUGUUGCAUUGUGCUUUUGCUCCCUUGCAUCUUCCCUUAGCCUCCAAGACAUACUGAGACCAUCACCUGUUUGGGGAAGGUGUUGUUUUGCAUUUUAUAUUGCUAGGAAAAUCAUGCCCUCUUUGUGGUAGGGUCUUUGAGGUGCUGCUGAAAUAAAAGUAAUUUAAAACAACAACAGCCUCAAGCACACAGAAGCAAUCAAGCAAGUUUGCUCUUAACAAGUUGUCUCUGAGUGAUAUACAGAUUGUUUCUACUAUCCUCAGGUAAAGCACCAAGCACAUGCAUUCCCUGUACAGAAAAACAAACUAACCCAAAUUAAAAUUCCUUGAAUUCAAGCAACCCCAGCUUAUAUCAGUGCCAUGGCACCAAGCUGGUCCAGGCUACACCAACACUGAUUUCCAGUUUUCCUCCUGAACUCGGGCAAACUGAGAUAUGGACAUGGGACCUGAGCACAUGACCGAAACCCAUCUUCCUCAAGCGAAUUUCUUUGUAUGAGCGCUAGCAACAUCUGAUGAGUCACAUGAGCUGGCCGUGUUUGCUCUUGCACACAUCUGUGCGAAAGCAAAGCCAAAUCAUAUAUGUAUAUCAGAUAUUUUGUAUACAAAAGGUGCAUUGGAAGACAGGGCCAAAUGCCCUGUCACUGGCAUUAUAAAUAGGCUCUGCAAGUCAUUAGAAACAGAUUUGCUUUACCCACCAGAGCACUCCAUGAACUGAAAAGGGUGAGCAGUGGCAAGCAAUGUCAACUAGCACCCACCUGGCAUAGCAUUUGAGCUAGGCUGGUUUGGGACUUGCCAGGAGAUCUGUGGCUCUCCCACUACUAUGAAGGCUCCCUCCCCCCCGUAAGCAGUGCUGGUAAUUAAACAAGCAGAGCUAUGCCAUCGGGGCUGCCAGGCUUGCAGAAUCUGCCUCAUCUGAUCCUCGCAACAAAGGCUCCUCUCAACAGUGCCGUGUUUCAUCCUGUUAAUGGUGAACAAAAUGCCUGUUUGUGCUCAGAAUAUACUCAUCUCCAUAUCUCUGCUUGCUCAAUAAGCAGGUUUCUAGUAUUUCUGUCUGAAUUUGUCUGAGGGAUAUAACAAGGGAGGGGCAGGUGCAAAGUCUGUAAAUCCCCUUGCAAUUUCUGGGGUUAAUUUCUGUAUUAGCUCUAAUUUUUAACUAGUGGCAACUCUCAAAAUCAUAUGAUCUCAAUAACAGAACACAGAAAAACAGAAACGGUUGCUAGAGAAUGAUCGUAAACUACUUUUUAGAUUAAGAUGACUAAACAAAAGGAGGAUUUUCUUUCAAAAUCUUCUCUGGUGUUUUCUGUUUUGUCACUGUUGACAGCAUAACCAACAGUGCUGCCAUUCAAGCUUUUAACUGGGAGACAUCUUUGAAGCUUCUUUUUGCUUUCCUAGUAUAUCCAAGAGCUUUCUGGAAGUAUUUAACACUUGUAAGUGCAAUCCUAUAAGACAUACAAAAUGAAAAUACUGUCUGAUGAUCAGGCAAAGACCCACCUGGCUCUUUGUCUUCUUUCUGACUCUUAGCAACAGUGCAGACCUCAGGAAGAAUAUAAUAAGGCAAAUAUACAGCAAAGCUCCCCCACAGUACUCACAUAGCCACCAGUAAUGCAUGUGAAAGGACUUCCUGGCCCACAGAUAGCUACAGCUAGAUAAGGCCUUUAGGAUGAGAAGGUACUUGAACCUCCCCAAAUUAGAAAGACUGAGACAGAAGGAGGGGGGACACGGCAACCAAAGCCCAGAGACAGGGACCUCUGUGAUAUGAAAUUGUUUGCAAUAAAUAGAGAAGCUGCAUUGAAAUAAUGGGAAGGAAGUUUAAUAUGAAGAGACAGAGUUCACUGUGCCUCUUUGGUAACUUGUUGGAAGAUCCUCAAAUGACAAGAAAGGUAGAAGCAAAGACGCAGGUAUGAGGUGUCCUCUGGGCAGAAUCAGUGUUUUACUGUGUUUGCCCUUGCCCAACUCCCUCCACAAUAGGAAGGAAUGACAACUGGAGGACGUGCCUCCUCUGAGGAAUAACUGUUUCCCUGGGAUAUGAGAAUGGGCAAACUGGAAGGACCACAGCCUGAGCGUGAGGAGCAGUGUGGGGCCUCCAGGUGCAGGCAGGGCUAGGGCGGGAGGUAGCUUGAGCCUCUGGUAACUGCUAUACACAGAUGAAUCAGAGAAUCAUAGAAUAUCCCAAGUUGGAAGGGACCCAUAGGGAUCAUUGAGUCCAACUUCUAGCUCCACAAAGGACUACCUAAAAAUCAGACCAUAUGUCUGAGAGCCUUGUCUGGAUGCUUCUUGAACUCCAGCAGUUCAGUGCCAUGACCACUGCCCUGGGCAGCCAGUUCCAUGCCCACCACUUUCUGGUGAAGAACCUUUUCCUGACACCCAGCUCAACCCUCCCCUGGCGCAGCCCCGUGCCAUUCUCUUGGUCCCUCUCGCUGUCACCAGAGAGCAGAGCUCAGCGCUGCCCCUCUGCUCCCUGUGAGGAGCUGCAGCCGCCAUGAGGCCUCCCCUCAGCAACUCUGCUCUGGGCUGAGCAAACCGAGGCACCUCAGCCUCUUCUCAUACAUCUUCCCUUCUAGAACCUUCCCCAUCUUUGUAGCCCUUUGGACACUCCCUAAUAGUUUUAUGUCCUUUUUGUAAUGUGGCACCCAAAAAUGCACACAUUACUCAAGGAGAGGAUGCACCAGUGCAGUGUAGAGAAGGACAAUCCCUUCCCUCUCCCACUGGCAGUGUGGGCCUGAUGCACCCCAGGAUACAGUUGGUCUUCCUAGCUGUCUGGGCACACUGUUGACUCAUGUUCAACUUGUUGUUGACCUCCAGAUCUCUUUCAGCAGGGCUGCUCUCCAGCGUUUCAUCCCCCAGUCUGUAUGCACAGCCAGGAUUGCCCUUCCCCAGGUGCAGAAUCUGACACUUAUUCUUGUUAUAUUUCAUGAGCUGGUAAUUACCCAGAUCUUUAAAUUGCCUAGAUCUCUCUGAAAGGCAAGAUGAGACAUAAGCAGAGGAUGGUAAAGAAGCCCCUCUGUGCAGCAAACAUAGUCACAUGAUCAAACAAAUUUGAGUCCAGCAAAUUCCAGACAGAAGAAUAUGCCUUAGAGAAAUCAAUUCAGAUGGAGGACAGAGAAAUCAGACUGAAACUGCUCUGCUUUAGUGUAUAGGCAAAAUCAACACACAUUGUUUCCUUGAGAAACAGUUUUGCUAGUGACUCUCCUAAAACCAUUUCAUCAACUCAUACCUUCAUUCCUGUCAUUGCAAUCAGGUUCUGAAACUGUUUGCUCUACCUCCAUUUCAGAUCCUUAGAAUUAGCCUCUCAAAUGUUUUAUAUACAAGUUCAAAGACUCAACCAUGUUAGCAGCACACAGUUCACAUCAAGUAAAGUCUUGCUUGUUUUAUUGCAACUGAUAGCAAUCUCAUUCCAUAGAGUGGAAACACCAUUUCUGACUAAUCAGGUCACACGACAUAACUCACAUGCAUCAUUCAAUAUACAAUUAUUACAGUUAAGCAUUACCCCAUACAGAGAACAUACUCAGCAAACUCAUUCAGUCCUUUUAAUUGUGCCUAUAAAAGUGUGUAAUGUCAUCAUAUAGUUGAUACAUUGUCGUGACCGGGGUACUCUGAAGCAGAGAGACCUUAUUUUUGCAAACUGCUAAUUGCCACAAUAUACCAUACCUGUAGCCAUAAGUGAUAAAUUCAUGAAACUAUCUCACUGGGAUUCAGUCUUCAAUAUAUUGCAUUGUAAAAGCCAACUGGAUAGCACACUAUAUGUUUGGGGAACAGAGCACACUAGAUGAAUCACAUUUUACUUUUCUUACCCAAAAUGAAUUGCGGACAAUACUAUAUAACAGUUCAGUACAGUGUCAGUACUGUUGCUACCACAUGAGUAAUAUAUUUUUGCAGAUAAAUAAGAGGGUCCAGCAUGGUUUCAACUUUCUUCCAAAGCCAUUUCUACUGCACUGUGAUCCUAUGAUUGCUUUUGCCAAAAAUGUCACCAUUCUUUUAAAACCAUCUGUCAAUCAUGUUGCUUGUUCUUGUGGUUCUUGUGGCUCUUGAUACAGUGAGUAUUUUCUUAACUUCUGCAUAAAAAGGAAAAAAUAUAAAUGUUUGUCUAAGAUUUUGUUUAUACUCAAGAAUGGGAUUCAUUGCACUCUGCCAGACAUGCAAACCAAUUGGUUUUAAGAAUAAAAGUACAGACAGAAAUAACUGACCUGCAAAGCAACAGCUUUAUUUUGUCAAGGUGCAUACAAAAACACCUCACAAUUUUAGAAUUCAUUCUUAUAUAGUUGGCUCUCCAAAGCAGCUUGUAAUAAUUCUCUUCGUUUUGCUUGUCCACUGAGUAGACUUGUAAAAACUAGUCCUGCUUCUGGCAUGUUGGAAUCUCUUUAUUCACUCAUUAGGAAUGCAAUUUAUUGCUGAUAAGAUACCACAAAGUAGGACAUGCAUAAGAGUUUGUUGACUGGGAUGGUAUUGUCGUGCUUGGCAGGAAUGCCAUUUUUUAGCUGGCUGUAGUAGUAAUAAGCUGCAUAUCAAGACAAUUUUUUUUUCAUUGAAGGGAAAUUUUUUUAGAAGAAUAUAGUCAGUUUUGACUUUUUUUUUUAAUUAUCUCCUUUCUUCACUCAGUUUUCUGUUUUUGCAGGUAGACACGCACACCCACACAAAACCAAACCACAUUAUCUAUCAGAUCUAUCUAUCAGUGUGUUUGCUGUCAAAAGCCUUCCAAUCAGGGAUCUUCUCCAUUCCUUAACUAUGGUUAUAGUCUGAUGCUUGGGAGUUUUUCAUGGAAAGUGUUCUAGCUCUGAAGAUUCCUGAACACACAGCCAGGGUGAAACUCCACUAGAAUGCCAAGCAAUAAACUGCACACAAAUAAGGUUACUGUGAGGAUAUUGAAAGAGAAUCAUUGUACUCUGCUUUGUCUCCCAGUCAAAGCCCUCUGGUUCUUUUUCACUGCAGACAAGUGGCAUAGGGUAGAACAGAUAGAAUGAGACAAUGCUAAAAUGCCUGAGAUGUGGGAGAAAAGGGGUUAUCACCUCCAUGCUGUGCCUCUAAUUUUCUUCAGGGAUUUCUGCACAACAGAUCUGGUGAGAAGACAAGAAUGGCCAUGCAGGAAUGGCCCAUGAGCCUACUGUGGCCAUUCUUGUUCAAGGGGACUUGAACAGUGCAAAUUUUGCAGUAAGAAAAUACCUGACUGAGCAUCUCUAGUUGCUGAAUAUCGUUGUUUCUUCCUGUGCUGAGCAUCCAGUUCUCCACAAAACCCAGACAUCUUUAUCCAUGAGCAUCAUGAAACUUAAACUACACUUGAGCAUAGAAUAAAACAGUAGAUUGGUCAAAUGAAGCCACUUGAGAUUUUUUUCCAGUGCCUGAAACUAAGGAACUCAUAAAAUAAGAUUGGGAUUAGCAUACAAGUUCUUUUUCUUUAGAAUAUCUUGAAACUCUGUGGUGCUGGUCCUGCUUAGUUUGACUCUAUGUGUCAGUGCUAAGCAUGCUCAUUCUAAUGCUGACUAUGGACCAAAUAUGAAUGAGGCAUCCAUGUGCAAAUGAAAAUUUGUGGGCAGUCUCCAUACUACACUGCUUGAAGAUGAGACAUAAGUGGGGUAGGGAAAACAUAAGCAAUGAAGCUCACUGGGAUGAUGGUAAAAAUUAUGAUAGUCACUCCACAGGUGUUCUCUCACUUGUGAAGGAUUGAAUUAGGAUCAGAUCAGAUAAACAGAAAGAAAACUGUGAAAAGAGAAUGACUGAAUGGAAAAGAGGAAACAGGGAAAAAGAACAGAUUCAGAGGUGAUACAGAGGUGAAGCAAUCACAAGAGAGGCAACACCAGUGACUGUCAGAGGAGAAAGAUAGAAAAAUGUUCUCUGAGAAUUGAAAAUGCAGUGCUUUGUCUCUAAACAGCUGGAGUUUCAGGCUGGCUCCUUGAACUUUCCUCUGAAACUGGUGAGAAGAGAAGGAGCACCAGAAAUUGUGUCUACACAUGAUAAGGAAAGGCAGAUGGUAGACUGAGGGGCCUAUAAAGCAAACAGAAGUUUGAAUCAGUUUGUCCUACAAAGUUGUGCACAAAAGACAGCAAAUCUAAAAAUAAAUAAAACCCUACUUCACACUAACACAAAGGACAGUGUUAUCACUAUGACUUUUAAAUAAAAACAUCAGUUAUUAAUCAGUUCACUAAAAUUGAUGUGUUGGAACGUAGGUAAAUGACCUUGGAGAGGUUAAGAGUCUGACACGGACUGGGAGAACGUGCAGCCUUGAAAGCUUUCUUGCUCUGUUAGCUCCUGAGCCCCAGGCUACCAAUGACUUUAAGUCCAAGGUAUCCAAUUAAUCCAAAGAAAUGACCUGAUCAGUGAGCUAGGGAAGGGAACCAGGGAGCAACACAGUUUGCAAAACCAAGUUUCUGCCUCUUCUUCCGUCAUUUAUUAGCAGUUCCUUCUCCUUUUCUGCUCUCCUCAUUUUGUGUGUGCGUCUUUCUUUAAAGAAAGAUCUUGGUCUGGUGCCAAGAUUUGUGCUAUCUUCUGCUGGCAUGGACCAACAUUGAAACCCAGGCGUUGGUAUUUAAUUAAGAACAGUACUUAGAGCAUCUGUUUGCAAAAUCAGAGUGAAUUAGGAUAGCAAAAAACUUAGCAGUAUGUUAUGAGGCCAUGCAUUUUAUUAUUUAGAGCUUAUUUGGAGCUAAAUUCCUUGUGAAUAUGUACAGGAUAAACUAGAAAAUGCCUAAAUGUUCUUUCUUCUUCUGACUCCCAACACAAUAAUGACUGUAAGGAAACCACAUUGCAGAAUCAUACAAAUAAAAUGUCUUCUAAGACACAUGGUAAACCUAAAUUAGAGUACUACCUUAAUGAAAGAAUUAGCUUAGGAUGUCAUUUCACUUAAGCUGAACAGAAAAGAAUAGCAGGAAUGAUGCCAGAGUAGUAAGAAACACACAUUUUAGCUUGAAUUAUCCUUCCUUAUUCAUUAUCUUUGAUUUUACUUUUUUUGGGUGGAUGAUCCUGCAUGAAGCUACAAGAACAUAACUACUCAGGUAUCCAGUGAAUGUAAUAUGUUUUACAUUGAGGCAAAGACAUUAAAGUCCUCUAGAAAUGAAAUGAGAGCUAUUUCAGCAUACAAGACAUUACAUUACACCAAUAAAGAAUAAUAGAAAUGGCCUCAUCUAGAUUGAUUUUGUUUCUUAUUAUAGCUUCUGAUAAGCAACAGGAUCCAAUGGUCUUACCAUUAACUUGAGAAUCGGAAAACCCCGUUUAGUAACAGAAUAAACCCUGCUUGCUCCCUUAAGUAGCUAGAGGUGAAUGUCCUUUGACAUCUAACUUUUAUUCUUACACUUAUCUUUCAGGAAACUGUGAUGAGGACCUUUUUCUUGCACUACAGUAAGUAGCAGAAUUGAAUAGCUGGUAAGCAAGGUAAAAAAGAAAUCUUAGAAAUGAGCUGUAAAAACAUUAAGUGCUUCCAGACAGUCUUUCAAGAGUGAGAUGAUAAACAUGAGAUGCAGUAACAACCUUAUUAUUGACAGGGGUUUAAUGGAUUUAAAAGUGCAUUCUAUCAGGUGUUCUUAUGUUCUCAGCUGAUGUCUUCCACGAGGCUAGCAGCUUUCAACAUGCCAAAGGAAAAAUGAUGUGCAAAUAUCAACCAUUUGCAGAAAAGAGUGUUGACAUGGCACAAAGUCAAAAAAAUGCAGAAAGAUGGGACAUAAUGACUCCAGCCCCCUGGGCAGGGAGGAGCAGGAAGAGGUUGACCAAAUACAGAUCAUGCCAAGGCACAGAAGUGAUGGACCAGAUCUCUUGGGAAGGACAACCCAGGAAGGAACCCUUGGGCAUGGGGCUAUGGGUACAGGGCUGUGCAGCUUUGGAAAAACAUUGAGAAGUGCUCUUUCUGCAUUGUCAUUUGACCACCAUCCAUGUCUGUUCUCUACAUUAGCAUGGCACUGCUCAGGUGCUUUGUUGCAUCCUCGGGGGAAGCUUCUUCCAGGAGAAGGGGAGAGGUUCAUAAACUAUGUCAGCAGAUUUUGCCUCUAUAAACAAAUGCAGGACUGGGUUGUGGCAUUUAAAGUGCUCUGUAGGAAGGAAGAUGAGAGAUCUUUAUUUUUGAUUAGAUGAAGUGCACACAGAAGUUUUCUUAAACAGGCGUAUAUUCAGGAAACUGGAGGCAUAUCAGACUGAACUCCUGUAAGAGAGGCAGGGGACUUCUCUUCAAGGAGAAUAUACAAAGAUGAGAGUUCUGGUGAAGUAGCUUGGACUCCAGGGGAAUAUCAGCAACACUAGAGCAGCUAUUCCCAGGACUAGAUGUCAUUUCAAGUUCUUGUCUUCCUAUAGCUGAAGGACAAAAGAAAGCCCCAGAUCAGUAUGUACACAUCCACCUAGAUAUUCCCUUCCAGCUGCUACUGGUUUAUAUUCAUGCUUUGAUACUGGUACAGCAUCCCUUGAAUGUAAGACACUGGUUUCUUGUUCUAAAAUGACACAGACAUCUGGGAAUAGAAAAUCUUGCUCUCCUAUCCUUUGACUGGCUUGAAAGUUUUAUUCACUGCCAAUUCUAAACUGCUUUUUUUUUAAGCUAAUCCACAUCUGAGUUUUUCAAAAAUUAGCCUCAUUAUGAUGCAAUGUUAAUAUUAGAUCUAUUUAUUACUAUUAAAGUUAUUUGCUUACCACUCACAUUAGUUACAUGGACUGUUAAACUACAUCAGUUAUUUAACUUGGUUGUAAUUGGCUUAAUUUUAUGAUGUGACUAGCAUGACAACAGGUUAUUUAUGGCUACACACUGUGAAAUAAUGGAGGAAAAUUCAUUCAUUAUUUAAAGAUUUAUAAAAAUGGUUCUCUUAAUGUUACCAUAAAAAAAAAGGCCCUAAUUUUAUUGGCAUAAGAUAACCUCUCAGUGACCUUUUAAGCCACAGAAAUUAAGAUACUGCUGAGUAUCCAGCCUCAAACCUUCAAAACAUGAAAAUAAAACAGAUGCUUUCUACUAAUAGGGCUCUGGAUAAUUAACAAAUUUCUUAAGUCAGGCCACUGUACAGUACUAUAAAUCAGAAAAAAAAAAAGAAUAAAAUGAUGGAUGCAAUGCUUUACUCCUCAGAACUUCUAUCCACAUGUGCUCAUGUAUCCCAUUAAUAGAAUGGCUUUGAUACUGGAACUAAUGUUGCUGGCUGCACUAAUUGCAGAAAGGAUUUCCAGUGCAAUGAAUCACAGAACCAUAGCAAAUAGGGUUAGAUGAGAGCUCAUCUUGUCUAUCCUUUCUCUUCAUGGCAGAACCAAACCUAUCCCACAUCUGGCAGCUGUUAAGGCCUCUCUGUGGUGCUAAGCGCACAGCUCCUCCAGGUUGCUUAGUCCUGUCCUCAAAUAGCCCUUACUGUUAAACUUCUUUUUUCCUAAUAUUUAACCUGAAUCUUCCUUGUUGCUUUUGAAGCCCUUUAGUUCUCAUCCUCUCCACAGGGGAGACUCCAAUAAGUAGUAGUUCAUUCCUCUUCUCUAAUUAUUUAUAUAUUUCAAGAGGUAUCUCAACCCCCCUAUGCUUCUCCUUGCUUGACAAGAAAACUCCAGCUCUUUUAAGCUGUGCAAACAAAACACAGCAUCUGACAACACAGUAGGAUUUGUUGCUCUCGUUCUGUUUAUAUCCAACAGGUCCAUACCCUUCUUGGCCUGUGCACACAGCACUCAAGAAUAGAUGACUUUUUCAUGACUUUAUGACACUGCUGAUUUCUGUUCAACUUGUGACAUAUUUUGAUUGGAAAUGAUACCGGUUGCUUACUUUGAUUGCAACAAUUUUCCAAGUACGGUGUUAAAGACUGCCAGAGAGUCUGUCAGGUACUUUAGGUUCUUGCUCUAUUCAAAUAGUCACCAUCAUAUAGGCUGGGCUACUACUACACAGGUAGAGUCCUGAACUCAGAUUUUCUAUGGAUAUAUAUACCAUUUUAACCAUUAUCUUGUAACAGGUGAACUCAUCCUCUGUUCCCCCCUCCCCUCACUCUCUCCCAGGGUUCAUUCCCUUCGAGUCUCUCUUUGCAUGGGUCAAAGUUCAUGAGCUUAUUGGUUCAUCUUCCUCACUUUGUUUCGUGGUACUCCAUCUUUUUGACAUCCUGUUCAUUCUCUGUUGUCAGCAGAUUCUUCAAAAGUUAUCUAUUGACUACCUCUUCUUUUUUUCUAUUCUAAGCGACGGUUGGAUGCUUUGCCCAACCUUGGCCUGAGGCUGUACAGGGGAGGAGGCCCAUAGUCUCUGGACUGCACAGCCUUUUGAGCAGCUUGUGUUGUGACUUCUGUACUAGAACACAGGUGGAUUUUACCCAACCCUGUUCCUGUUCCCUUUUUGGGAAUUUUAACAAAUCUCCUACACAGUCCCUCCUAAAAUUCUAUGAUUAUGAUUAUCUGAUCCCCAGAACUACUAAGCCUUUUACAUUUUUCCCUUAAGCUAAUUCCUAUCUUCUACAUACAGAGCCACCCUAUUUCAUGACAGUCGAGAGGAGUUUCGUAGCUAGGUACCUAGGCAUUUUGGGAAGAUUUCUUGGCACUUUCUGUAGUCAGGGCUGAUGCUCAAUGUAACCGUUUGAGCAGUUAGACUGUUUUCCUUCUACUCAGUGAGAGGAAGGGGCAAAUAACUGAAAAAAGUUUCUUGUUCAUUUAUUAUGCCUUGAAGGAAUAUAUGGCCUGCUGCUGCCAUUUUUCCAGAACUCCGCAAUACACUGUUCCUUACUUGGCAGUUUCCAGAGAAUUACUAAAAAAUUCAUAACCCAGAAACAUAAAAAGAUAAACAGUAGAGCUGGAUGCUGUAGUAUGUUAUGAAAAUAACUCAUGCCAAUUCUAAAUGUAUAACGCUAAUUAUCAUAACUAGAUUUGUAGACGCUAAAAUGAAAUUUGUGUCUUGCUUUCAACAUGGGAAAAUGAAACAACAAGAGGCAAAAAUAUCUCACAGCCGAAAACAAACUCAGCAUUGAAAUCGGUCAGUAGUGCUUUCAACAAUCGCUUGCUUAAUUAUUUCUUGCUUUCCUUGUGCUGCUGCCAAGAACAAAGGUCAUAUUUAAUGACUGCCUAAAUCAUUUGCAAUAUUUUUUAGACUUUCCCUGGAGGUAGCUGAUGUAGAUCCUUUUGUACUCAGUAAGAAAAUCUCAUAUGGAUUAUUCUGUUAAAGAAGCGUUGCCUUUAUUUAUCAUUCUAAACUUAUUUGAGUCCCUUCACAUCUUUCAAAACACAUAUUUUCUUUCUCUUCUCUGUUUGCUGUUAGGUGCAAUAGUGACAGCUCCAACAAGGCAACACUGGUUGUUUCAAGAUUAUAGAGCAUUCAGGACACCCACAUCAGCUUUGAAGUAAAUGAGAGGAGCCACAUGCAUUUACGUCUGACAAACACAAAAUAAUAUAUGUCAUCGUAGCAUCAUAGUAAUGACACACAACCUUAACCAAGAGUCAGAGACAGCAGCACAGAACUGAGGAACUAACUCUGUGACUUAUCCCUUAAGUAGAAAAAGGUGUGACUCCAUCAGCUGAGUGUAGUGGUUUACUGUCACUGUUCUCAAGAACUGAAAUCAAAGAAUCAUUUUUCUGAAGAUGGGACACCUCUUGUGUUUGCUUUCCUCUUUUUGCUUCACUAAUGGCAGUAGUUGGGCAUUAAGCAAUAGGAAAGUACGUUGUAAAGAACUAUUUAAUGAUGGGGUGGAAAAAGAAGAAAAAACAAGAAAAUAGGAUACUAAUUACUUAAUAUUGGAGACAGCCUGGAACAGACUUUUUGAUGUCUGCUAACAGGCCCCAAACUGGGACAUGAAUGAAAAGUAUGUCAUAUCAAGGAGGGUUGGCAGUGGAAAGUUUUAAGGCUCAAAAUGGUGAACUUGAUUCCACUGCAGGGACCAAAGUCCAAUUGCAGAAAUGGCCUUGUACUUUCUGUGUUUUUUUUCAGUAGAGGACAGGCCUUGUCUACUCUAGCUUUACACUGACACCAAAUCAUGACAGAGCUUCUGUUCUCUCCUCCCAUAAAUAAAAGUGUUUCUUCACUGCUGGAUAAAAUGUGAGUCCAUGUUUUUUAAUGUUUCUUUGAAAACUGGCCUUUGAAAACACACACUAACUACUUCAACCCACACUUUUGAUUAAAAUAUUGGCCUUGACAUUCAUGUAUGAUGUUUACUUUCUAACAUGGCUAAAGUUGUACAGAAUCUCUGGGUUCUGUAACCACAGUAGAUUAAUUUAUGGCUGAAUUUAAGUCUGAUUUUGCUGUCAUUUUAGCCCACAGCUGAUGGACUAAAUAGCACCAUAGGGUAACUCAAGUGGCAAAGGACACCAGGAGGGCUUUUCCCAAAGCAUGGUCAGCUAUGACAACACACCUCAGUGCUCAGAGCUUUAUCCAGUAAGGUUCUGGAAAUCUCUGAGGACACAAACUGCAUAACUUCUUUGGGCAGCAUCUUUCCAUUCUCAAUGGCCCCCAUGCUAUUUCCAUUUAUCUAGUCAGAACUUCUCUUUCAAGGCACGUCUGUUUUCUCUUGGUCUUUUGCCUUGUGUUGCUGUGAAGAUGCUGUGAAGACACUGUUUCUGUUUUCUCAAAAACUUCCUUGUAUGCACUGGAAAUAAAAUUGUGCAAGAGCAGAAGUAAUUCCUGAGUACGCUAAACUCUAUGCAAAGCAAGAUUGGCCUCAUAUCUGUGUAUUUCCCAUUUUCUCACAUCUUUGUCAGGGCCCCUUCUGGCAUUGCCUCCAUCCCAUUUCUCAGUGUUGAUUCAGCAAGGUCUCUAAGCACACAUUCAGUUGUAAGCAUGUGCUUGUAGAGGACUACUCAUUUCAGGCAAACUUUCAGCGGUGUCACACAUGUAAGCGUACCCUUAGAGAACACAAGUGGCCAAAAUGUGUGAUUUAAUAUGUAUCUUCCACAUUAUUGGAGCUGGAAUUAUCCAAAGAAAAUUCUUUGAAAUCUCUCAGUUACCAAAGCUGGAAACUAACUUGUUUUUGUGUCUUAAAUGAAAGCUGAUGCUCUGAAGUCUUUCCUUGGCUCAGGAGAAUAUGCUGAUAACACAUUAAACAAAGUGAGAACUAGUAACACUGCAUCUAUACCUAGAAUUGUGCUUUCAGAAGAGGGAAAAGAGAGCAGCUAAGUCAUGCAUAUGCUUCGUGUUUCCUGAGCAGGACCAUAAAUCAGCAAACUGCUGAAUGAGCCUUUACUCUCAUAUCAAGAUAUCCCAUUGAAAUGAUAUCCUGUAAGCUUGUGAUUAGCUCUCAACAGAUUGUCUCUAAAAUGUCAUUCUUAAAGUAUUAUCUAAAAGGAAAUAAAUAUAGCAGAGACUCUAGUAGUCCUGGGGGAAGUUUAGCCUGUAAGAAUUUGCUGUUCUAAUGGGUCCAGAGCCUCAUUUGUUUUAAUACAGUGUGUAAUGACACUGGUGCAAAUUGCCCAUAGUUAAUAUCAUGGAGACACAACAAAUGUUAAUUUUCUUAAUUAGUCAUGCGUACUGACAAUAAAAAUUCCACAAUUAGUCUUAACAAGCCCAAAUUGGAAGACUGGCUUUCUUUUCUUAGGGAACAGGCACACUACCAGAUUAGUAGAAUUAGGAAGAAACUGCUUCCUGAGUGCAGUCUACUUUUGUUCACUACUGUGUGUCUGGCCACUUUGUGGCUGCUACCUCAAGGUGAACCUGAAAGGUCAGUCCCAACACUACUUGAGAACAACCCAACAUAUCUGCAGUUCCCUAAAUGAAUGACAAAAGAUCCAAAUGAAAGAGGAAGGCAUGGAUGAGAGAGAGAGGGUGUCAGUGUACAUACCUGUGGUAUUCCGACAUUUCCCAGUGCAUACCUGUAACGUCUAUUUUGGUCAAAUAGAAUGACUCCUCAAUGCUAAAUCCAGCGCUUUUGCUUACAGGGGCCUCUUCUCAAGUCUGUUGUACUGUUUCCAGCAAUGUCCACCGUUCCAAGGAAUGGCUAUCUUCUUUCCCAGCUUUUCUCUUGGGUAGUGUCUUACCAGUUUUCAGAUCCUUCUCAGCCACAGCAGCGCAGCUUUCUGUUUCAUGAGGCACCAUCACUUCAGGAAGAAUUUGCAGUAACACGUGGUGGCAGCAGCGAGUAGCAAGCAAGGAACAAUGAAACAUACUCAAGCUUCAAAUACAAUACAGUACUGGCAAAUUAAGUAAAAUUGUUGAGUUCUACAUCCACCUUUGUUCCAUCUUUCCACCUGUAUAUUUCUGCAUUCUUUGUGUGCAUCUUUGCAACUCCAGAUAUGACUUAUACAUUCAUUCUGAGGGAAUUUUAUCCAAUGUGUGUAUCUCAACACUUCCUACAAACAGUUCAGAUCCCACACAGAAGCAACGCAAUCCUCAGAAAUGUGUGAGCAUUGUAGUACUUCUCAUCUGCUGGCUAUUUAGUGCAUGCUUCAAGCUCAGAUGGCACAAACAACCUCACACCGUAUCUUGUGCCAUGUGGGGGAUGAGGAAGGGAAGCUGAAACCUACAGAGAAAUGCAGAGGAAAGGCUCUAAUGUGCUAUGCCAUGUUCUUGCUCCUCUUCUCCAAAAUGAAGAAUUUCCUUUUGAGCACUGUUCAGGCACUGGCAUCUGCUCAUCCCUUUGCUCUGGAGUCAGAGGCAAUGCCACCUGUGGUACCAAAGGCAGCUCAUUUUUCUAAGCAAAUCCGUUUUAGGAUUAGGAUAGAGCUGUAUGUAAGAGGUAAUAAUAAUACAGAAACAAUCAAGGAAAUUGUAAGUAUGAUUAAUAUUUUCUUUUUUUUCUGAACCUUGAAGAUGUGAAAAUAUGAUGUGGUAAUGUCAGUAUAUGGAAGCUUUAUUUUGGGAAGUACUUUGUGUUUGGAGCAUCCGAGCAGCCUACUAAUCAAAUAUGGCGCAUCUCUGGGCUCUGACUCAAGAAAAGAUAGCAAACAGCAGGACACCUGACAAGAUUAAUAUUUCUACCUCAUUUUGACACUUGUGUGAUAUGUAAAGCUGUAAAUAGCAGCAUUUUAUGAACAGCUUUGUGGGCAGCUCAGCAGCCUGUGCAGUGGGGCAGAGCAGAUAGCUCAGGAACCACCCCAACUAGAGGAUGCCUUUGCUCUUGAACCAGUGCCCUAUGAAAUAAAGGAAGAACAUUAGCAUGGAUUUACAGGCAUGACAAGGAGUUAAGUCUAUCCAUAGGAAGGCUGACAGCCAUUAACUACAAUGUUAAUUCCAAGCAUCCAUCACGUACCACAGAAUUAGUGGGUUAAUAAGACUCCUCAUCAAACACAUCUGUCAAGAUGGGAAAACAUGACGUAACACUAUUGUUUUAUAAACCAAACAAAAGGUUAACAGUGGUAUGUUUUUAUUCAUUUUAAAAAAAGAUUGUUGAUUGCAGUUGUCAUGGUCAUAAAUUGAAGAAAAAUGCAUUUGCAGCAAUGGUGAUUUCAAAGCUGUUUCCAUCAGCCUGGGAUAUCUGUGAUACCUGUGAUAUCUGUGAUAAGUGUGUGAGAAGAAUGGAGCAAGGGCUGCUGAAACACUGAAGUACAGGAACUGUAGUGAUCCUGAUAGGAUUUAAUGUGGAAAAAUCUAGUGAAGGAAGAUUUUCCACCCCUCUGCAUGCUAAUGCAAGAAAUAGCAGUCAAAUAAAGUGAAGACUGAUCAA